AUUGAACGCUGGCGGCAGGCUUAACACAUGCAAGUCGAGCGGAGCGAGGGUGCUUGCACCUUAGCUUAGCGGCGGACGGGUGAGUAAUGCUUAGGAAUCUGCCUAUUAGUGGGGGACAACAUUCCGAAAGGGAUGCUAAUACCGCAUACGCCCUACGGGGGAAAGCAGGGGAUCUUCGGACCUUGCGCUAAUAGAUGAGCCUAAGUCGGAUUGGCUAGUUGGUGGGGUAAAGGCCUACCAAGGCGACGAUCUGUAGCGGGUCUGAGAGGAUGAUCCGCCACACUGGGACUGAGACACGGCCCAGACUCCUACGGGAGGCAGCAGUGGGGAAUAUUGGACAAUGGGCGGAAGCCUGAUCCAGCCAUGCCGCGUGUGUGAAGAAGGCCUUUUGGUUGUAAAGCACUUUAAGCGAGGAGGAGGCUACUAGUAUUAAUACUACUGGAUAGUGGACGUUACUCGCAGAAUAAGCACCGGCUAACUCUGUGCCAGCAGCCGCAGUAACAC
rnacentral:rRNA from 1 species